AGCCACUAGAAUAUAUUUGUGGUCAAACCUGCCCAAUGUAGAUAAUUAUGAAUGGCCGCGGUACCCUGACCGUGCUAAGGUAGCGUAAUAAGUUGGCUUUUAAAUGGAGUCAGGUAUGAAUGGAUUAACUGGGUUUAGCUGUCUCAGGGGUGAUAUAUUGAAUUUACUGUUCAAGUGAAAAAGCUUGAGUUAAAUAAGGGGACGAGAAGACCCUUAAAAUUUUAUUUAAAGUAGUUUAUGAUUACUACAAUUUUGUUGGGGCGACAUAGAAAUAAUUAUAACUUUCUUUAUUCUUAUAUGCCGGAAUUUUCAAGACAGAAUAAAUUACUUAAGGGAUAACAGCAUAAUUCUAAAAUUGAGUUUGUGACCUCGAUGUUGGACUAGGAAGCUGACAGGUUAGAUGCUUGUCGUGCGGAUUCUGUUCGAAUUUUAACUCCU
rnacentral:rRNA from 1 species